UUAGGCUGUCUCGGUGCAUGUAUGAAAAAACACUUUUGGUAUCCUACACUGAUAGAUCUAUAAUCAGAUAUAUAGGCACCGAUAUCUAAUCUUUCUUCCUUCUCUUUCUGCAGCUCCCUCACCACCGACAAAGCGUCUCCUUCCAUCAUCACCGUCGAAAACCCUAGAUCUAAACCAUCUAGACUGCUUCAAGACAUGCAGUCGCCUCAGUUGCCGAUGCAGUAGUUGAUUUUGAUGAGCGGGCUUUCCAGCGACUUCCAUCAUGCCAGUUUCCCUUUCUGGACAUGUAACUUCUAAUUUAGAACCUCCAAUUCGCCAAGAUAAACUUGCUGUGGAAUAAGAUGAUUUUUGCACUCCUUUACCGAUUAA